rnacentral:rRNA from 1 species
AUACGUAGGGUGCAAGCGUUAAUCGGAAUUACUGGGCGUAAAGCGUGCGCAGGCGGCUUUGGAAGACAGGGGUGAAAUCCAAGGGCUCAACCUGGGAACUGCCUUUGGGACUGCAGAGGGAGAGUAAGGGAGAGGGGGCUGGAAUUACGCGGGUAGCAGGGAAAUGCGUAGAUAUGCGGAGGAACACCGAUGGCGAAGGCAAUCCCCUGGGCCUGUACUGACGCUCAUGCACGAAAGCGUGGGGAGCAAACAGGAUUAGAUACCCUGGUAGUCCACGCCCUAAACGAUGUCAACUGGUUGUUGGGUCUUCAUUGACUCAGUAACGAAGCUAACGCGUGAAGUUGACUGCCUGGGGAGUACGGCCGCAAGGUUGAAACUCAAAUGAAUUGACGGGG